GGGUUGUAGCUCAGUUGGGAGAGCGCUUGAAUGGCAUUCAAGAGGUCAGGGGUUCGAUUCCCCUCAGCUCC
rnacentral:tRNA from 4 species